rnacentral:snoRNA from 1 species
CGAGAAUGAUGAACCUGAUAUGGUCCGUGUUUCUGACCUAUGGACUGAUGCACAACAACAUAUCCUCUGACUUG